ACGCUGGCGGCGUGCCUAAUACAUGCAAGUCGAGCGAGCUGAAUUCAAAGAUCCCUUCGGGGUGAUUUGUUGGACGCUAGCGGCGGAUGGGUGAGUAACACGUGGGCAAUCUGCCCUAAAGACUGGGAUACCACUUGGAAACAGGUGCUAAUACCGGAUAACAACAUGAAUCGCAUGAUUCAAGUUUGAAAGGCGGCGUAAGCUGUCACUUUAGGAUGAGCCCGCGGCGCAUUAGCUAGUUGGUGGGGUAAAGGCCUACCAAGGCAAUGAUGCGUAGCCGAGUUGAGAGACUGAUCGGCCACAUUGGGACUGAGACACGGCCCAAACUCCUACGGGAGGCAGCAGUAGGGAAUCUUCCACAAUGGACGCAAGUCUGAUGGAGCAACGCCGCGUGAGUGAAGAAGGUUUUCGGAUCGUAAAGCUCUGUUGUUGGUGAAGAAGGAUAGAGGCAGUAACUGGUCUUUAUUUGACGGUAAUCAACCAGAAAGUCACGGCUAACUACGUGCCAGCAGCCGCGGUAAUACGUUGGUGGCAAGCGUUGUCCGGAUUUAUUGGGCGUAAAGCGAGCGCAGGCGGAAUGAUAAGUCUGAUGUGAAAGCCCACGGCUCAACCGUGGAACUGCAUCGGAAACUGUCAUUCUUGAGUGCAGAAGAGGAGAGUGGAACUCCAUGUGUAGCGGUGGAAUGCGUAGAUAUAUGGAAGAACACCAGUGGCGAAGGCGGCUCUCUGGUCUGCAACUGACGCUGAGGCUCGAAAGCAUGGGUAGCGAACAGGAUUAGAUACCCUGGUAGUCCAUGCCGUAAACGAUGAGCGCUAGGUGUUGGGGACUUUCCGGUCCUCAGUGCCGCAGCAAACGCAUUAAGCGCUCCGCCUGGGGAGUACGACCGCAAGGUUGAAACUCAAAGGAAUU
rnacentral:rRNA from 1 species